GACAGAGGGGCAAGCGUUGCUCGGAAUCACUGGGCGUAAAGCGCGUGUAGGCGGGCCGGAAAGUCGGGCGUGAAAUCCCUGGGCUCAACCCAGGAACUGCACUCGAAACUUCCGGUCUAGAGUGGGUGGAGAGGGAAGUGGAAUUCCUGGUGUAGGAGGUGAAAUUCGUAGAUAUCAGGAGGAACACCAGUGGCGAAGGCGGCUUCCUGGACACCAACUG
rnacentral:rRNA from 1 species